rnacentral:piRNA from 1 species
AAGGGGUUUUGUAAAUUUUUUGGCCAA